GGUUAGGGUCAGUAUUAGGGUCAGGGCUAGUAUCCGAGGUUAGGGUUAGAUCCUGAGGUUAGGCUUCAAGUGACCCCUAGGGUUAGGGUUAGGGUCAGUAUUACGGUUAGGGUUAGUAUCCAAGGUAGGGUUAGGGUUAGGGUUAGGGCCACGAUUGGGGUUAUGGCAAGCGCUAAGGUUAGGGUUAGGGUUAGCGCGAUGGUUAGGGCUAGGGUUAAGUGCCAGGUUAGGGCUUACGGCAUCAGCCGCCCGGACUGCGGGUCGGCUGGAUCUCUAAUAUGUGCAGAUUUUGCAGGUUGGGGACCGAGGAAACGCACCAACGAUGGACGAGGCACUGGCGGGUAAGGUUUUUGGGUAAGUAUCCCGUCUCCCCUAAGUUGCCCUACUUGGGCGGCGGGGAGCGGGGAAUGCACGGUCCUUCGCCCACCGGACACGCUCCCCCGGUCCCACAGGAAACACGACUUGUGCUUAAUAAAUGUUGUUGUUGACUUGGUUUUAAUGUGUUGCGUUAUUGUUUUUAAAUAGUUUCCAUUUUUUUAGGAUUUUUUGUUUUUGUUUUUAAAUAAUUUCCAGUUUUUUAGGAUUUUUUUGUUUUUUAUAUACACAACACACAAACAAACAAACAAACAAACAAACAAUACAUGAUCACACAGGAACUAUGUACAUACAUUGUGCGCGUCGACGACGUUUCGACCCUACUUGGGUCUUCAUCAGGUCAUGCGCACAAAAAAGAAUGGCUGCUGGGCCCCAAUUCAUAGGGGUGUGUACCCAGCAGGCAGCCAAAUAAAAAUGAAGUUAUCCCUGUUCCCCUCUCCCUUUUAUACCCUUGGAGAAAUAAUUUACUGAAUUUUCUUAAAUAAUUUGUGUUAUUUUGUACUCUAUUUAGUUUCUGAAUGUUAACCCUUUAGACGCUGAUUGUUUUUUAAUGCAUGAUAUAUUUAUCUUAUGUUAACCCUUUAGACGCUGAUUGUUUUUUAAUACAUGAUAUAUUUAUCUUAAUGCUGAGGUUAGGCUUCAAGUGACCCCCUAGGGUUAGGGUUAGGGUCAGUAUUAGGGUCAGGGCUAGUAUCCGAGGUUAGGGUUAGAUCCUGAGGUUAGGCUUCAAGUGACCCCUAGGGUUAGGGUUAGGGUCAGUAUUAGGGUCAGGGCUAGUAUCCGAGGUUAGGGUUAGAUCCUGAGGUUAGGCUUCAAGUGACCCCUAGGGUUAGGGUUAGGGUCAGUAUUACGGUUAGGGUUAGUAUCCAAGGUAGGGUUAGGGUUAGGGUUAGGGCCACGAUUGGGGUUAUGGCAAGCGCUAAGGUUAGGGUUAGGGUUAGCGCGAUGGUUAGGGCUAGGGUUAAGUGCCAGGUUAGGGCUUACGGCAUCAGCCGCCCGGACUGCGGGUCGGCUGGAUCUCUAAUAUGUGCAGAUUUUGCAGGUUGGGGACCGAGGAAACGCACCAACGAUGGACGAGGCACUGGCGGGUAAGGUUUUUGGGUAAGUAUCCCGUCUCCCCUAAGUUGCCCUACUUGGGCGGCGGGGAGCGGGGAAUGCACGGUCCUUCGCCCACCGGACACGCUCCCCCGGUCCCACAGGAAACACGACUUGUGCUUAAUAAAUGUUGUUGUUGACUUGGUUUUAAUGUGUUGCGUUAUUGUUUUUAAAUAGUUUCCAUUUUUUUAGGAUUUUUUGUUUUUGUUUUUAAAUAAUUUCCAGUUUUUUAGGAUUUUUUUGUUUUUUAUAUACACAACACACAAACAAACAAACAAACAAACAAACAAUACAUGAUCACACAGGAACUAUGUACAUACAUUGUGCGCGUCGACGACGUUUCGACCCUACUUGGGUCUUCAUCAGGUCAUGCGCACAAAAAAGAAUGGCUGCUGGGCCCCAAUUCAUAGGGGUGUGUACCCAGCAGGCAGCCAAAUAAAAAUGAAGUUAUCCCUGUUCCCCUCUCCCUUUUAUACCCUUGGAGAAAUAAUUUACUGAAUUUUCUUAAAUAAUUUGUGUUAUUUUGUACUCUAUUUAGUUUCUGAAUGUUAACCCUUUAGACGCUGAUUGUUUUUUAAUGCAUGAUAUAUUUAUCUUAUGUUAACCCUUUAGACGCUGAUUGUUUUUUAAUACAUGAUAUAUUUAUCUUAAUGCUGAGGUUAGGCUUCAAGUGACCCCCUAGGGUUAGGGUUAGGGUCAGUAUUAGGGUCAGGGCUAGUAUCCGAGGUUAGGGUUAGAUCCUGAGGUUAGGCUUCAAGUGACCCCUAGGGUUAGGGUUAGGGUCAGUAUUAGGGUCAGGGCUAGUAUCCGAGGUUAGGGUUAGAUCCUGAGGUUAGGCUUCAAGUGACCCCUAGGGUUAGGGUUAGGGUCAGUAUUACGGUUAGGGUUAGUAUCCAAGGUAGGGUUAGGGUUAGGGUUAGGGCCACGAUUGGGGUUAUGGCAAGCGCUAAGGUUAGGGUUAGGGUUAGCGCGAUGGUUAGGGCUAGGGUUAAGUGCCAGGUUAGGGCUUACGGCAUCAGCCGCCCGGACUGCGGGUCGGCUGGAUCUCUAAUAUGUGCAGAUUUUGCAGGUUGGGGACCGAGGAAACGCACCAACGAUGGACGAGGCACUGGCGGGUAAGGUUUUUGGGUAAGUAUCCCGUCUCCCCUAAGUUGCCCUACUUGGGCGGCGGGGAGCGGGGAAUGCACGGUCCUUCGCCCACCGGACACGCUCCCCCGGUCCCACAGGAAACACGACUUGUGCUUAAUAAAUGUUGUUGUUGACUUGGUUUUAAUGUGUUGCGUUAUUGUUUUUAAAUAGUUUCCAUUUUUUUAGGAUUUUUUGUUUUUGUUUUUAAAUAAUUUCCAGUUUUUUAGGAUUUUUUUGUUUUUUAUAUACACAACACACAAACAAACAAACAAACAAACAAACAAUACAUGAUCACACAGGAACUAUGUACAUACAUUGUGCGCGUCGACGACGUUUCGACCCUACUUGGGUCUUCAUCAGGUCAUGCGCACAAAAAGAAUGGCUGCUGGGCCCCAAUUCAUAGGGGUGUGUACCCAGCAGGCAGCCAAAUAAAAAUGAAGUUAUCCCUGUUCCCCUCUCCCUUUUAUACCCUUGGAGAAAUAAUUUACUGAAUUUUCUUAAAUAAUUUGUGUUAUUUUGUACUCUAUUUAGUUUCUGAAUGUUAACCCUUUAGACGCUGAUUGUUUUUUAAUGCAUGAUAUAUUUAUCUUAUGUUAACCCUUUAGACGCUGAUUGUUUUUUAAUACAUGAUAUAUUUAUCUUAAUGCUGAGGUUAGGCUUCAAGUGACCCCCUAGGGUUAGGGUUAGGGUCAGUAUUAGGGUCAGGGCUAGUAUCCGAGGUUAGGGUUAGAUCCUGAGGUUAGGCUUCAAGUGACCCCUAGGGUUAGGGUUAGGGUCAGUAUUAGGGUCAGGGCUAGUAUCCGAGGUUAGGGUUAGAUCCUGAGGUUAGGCUUCAAGUGACCCCUAGGGUUAGGGUUAGGGUCAGUAUUACGGUUAGGGUUAGUAUCCAAGGUAGGGUUAGGGUUAGGGUUAGGGCCACGAUUGGGGUUAUGGCAAGCGCUAAGGUUAGGGUUAGGGUUAGCGCGAUGGUUAGGGCUAGGGUUAAGUGCCAGGUUAGGGCUUACGGCAUCAGCCGCCCGGACUGCGGGUCGGCUGGAUCUCUAAUAUGUGCAGAUUUUGCAGGUUGGGGACCGAGGAAACGCACCAACGAUGGACGAGGCACUGGCGGGUAAGGUUUUUGGGUAAGUAUCCCGUCUCCCCUAAGUUGCCCUACUUGGGCGGCGGGGAGCGGGGAAUGCACGGUCCUUCGCCCACCGGACACGCUCCCCCGGUCCCACAGGAAACACGACUUGUGCUUAAUAAAUGUUGUUGUUGACUUGGUUUUAAUGUGUUGCGUUAUUGUUUUUAAAUAGUUUCCAUUUUUUUAGGAUUUUUUGUUUUUGUUUUUAAAUAAUUUCCAGUUUUUUAGGAUUUUUUUGUUUUUUAUAUACACAACACACAAACAAACAAACAAACAAACAAACAAUACAUGAUCACACAGGAACUAUGUACAUACAUUGUGCGCGUCGACGACGUUUCGACCCUACUUGGGUCUUCAUCAGGUCAUGCGCACAAAAAAGAAUGGCUGCUGGGCCCCAAUUCAUAGGGGUGUGUACCCAGCAGGCAGCCAAAUAAAAAUGAAGUUAUCCCUGUUCCCCUCUCCCUUUUAUACCCUUGGAGAAAUAAUUUACUGAAUUUUCUUAAAUAAUUUGUGUUAUUUUGUACUCUAUUUAGUUUCUGAAUGUUAACCCUUUAGACGCUGAUUGUUUUUUAAUGCAUGAUAUAUUUAUCUUAUGUUAACCCUUUAGACGCUGAUUGUUUUUUAAUACAUGAUAUAUUUAUCUUAAUGCUGAGGUUAGGCUUCAAGUGACCCCCUAGGGUUAGGGUUAGGGUCAGUAUUAGGGUCAGGGCUAGUAUCCGAGGUUAGGGUUAGAUCCUGAGGUUAGGCUUCAAGUGACCCCUAGGGUUAGGGUUAGGGUCAGUAUUAGGGUCAGGGCUAGUAUCCGAGGUUAGGGUUAGAUCCUGAGGUUAGGCUUCAAGUGACCCCUAGGGUUAGGGUUAGGGUCAGUAUUACGGUUAGGGUUAGUAUCCAAGGUAGGGUUAGGGUUAGGGUUAGGGCCACGAUUGGGGUUAUGGCAAGCGCUAAGGUUAGGGUUAGGGUUAGCGCGAUGGUUAGGGCUAGGGUUAAGUGCCAGGUUAGGGCUUACGGCAUCAGCCGCCCGGACUGCGGGUCGGCUGGAUCUCUAAUAUGUGCAGAUUUUGCAGGUUGGGGACCGAGGAAACGCACCAACGAUGGACGAGGCACUGGCGGGUAAGGUUUUUGGGUAAGUAUCCCGUCUCCCCUAAGUUGCCCUACUUGGGCGGCGGGGAGCGGGGAAUGCACGGUCCUUCGCCCACCGGACACGCUCCCCCGGUCCCACAGGAAACACGACUUGUGCUUAAUAAAUGUUGUUGUUGACUUGGUUUUAAUGUGUUGCGUUAUUGUUUUUAAAUAGUUUCCAUUUUUUUAGGAUUUUUUGUUUUUGUUUUUAAAUAAUUUCCAGUUUUUUAGGAUUUUUUUGUUUUUUAUAUACACAACACACAAACAAACAAACAAACAAACAAACAAUACAUGAUCACACAGGAACUAUGUACAUACAUUGUGCGCGUCGACGACGUUUCGACCCUACUUGGGUCUUCAUCAGGUCAUGCGCACAAAAAAGAAUGGCUGCUGGGCCCCAAUUCAUAGGGGUGUGUACCCAGCAGGCAGCCAAAUAAAAAUGAAGUUAUCCCUGUUCCCCUCUCCCUUUUAUACCCUUGGAGAAAUAAUUUACUGAAUUUUCUUAAAUAAUUUGUGUUAUUUUGUACUCUAUUUAGUUUCUGAAUGUUAACCCUUUAGACGCUGAUUGUUUUUUAAUGCAUGAUAUAUUUAUCUUAUGUUAACCCUUUAGACGCUGAUUGUUUUUUAAUACAUGAUAUAUUUAUCUUAAUGCUGAGGUUAGGCUUCAAGUGACCCCCUAGGGUUAGGGUUAGGGUCAGUAUUAGGGUCAGGGCUAGUAUCCGAGGUUAGGGUUAGAUCCUGAGGUUAGGCUUCAAGUGACCCCUAGGGUUAGGGUUAGGGUCAGUAUUAGGGUCAGGGCUAGUAUCCGAGGUUAGGGUUAGAUCCUGAGGUUAGGCUUCAAGUGACCCCUAGGGUUAGGGUUAGGGUCAGUAUUACGGUUAGGGUUAGUAUCCAAGGUAGGGUUAGGGUUAGGGUUAGGGCCACGAUUGGGGUUAUGGCAAGCGCUAAGGUUAGGGUUAGGGUUAGCGCGAUGGUUAGGGCUAGGGUUAAGUGCCAGGUUAGGGCUUACGGCAUCAGCCGCCCGGACUGCGGGUCGGCUGGAUCUCUAAUAUGUGCAGAUUUUGCAGGUUGGGGACCGAGGAAACGCACCAACGAUGGACGAGGCACUGGCGGGUAAGGUUUUUGGGUAAGUAUCCCGUCUCCCCUAAGUUGCCCUACUUGGGCGGCGGGGAGCGGGGAAUGCACGGUCCUUCGCCCACCGGACACGCUCCCCCGGUCCCACAGGAAACACGACUUGUGCUUAAUAAAUGUUGUUGUUGACUUGGUUUUAAUGUGUUGCGUUAUUGUUUUUAAAUAGUUUCCAUUUUUUUAGGAUUUUUUGUUUUUGUUUUUAAAUAAUUUCCAGUUUUUUAGGAUUUUUUUGUUUUUUAUAUACACAACACACAAACAAACAAACAAACAAACAAACAAUACAUGAUCACACAGGAACUAUGUACAUACAUUGUGCGCGUCGACGACGUUUCGACCCUACUUGGGUCUUCAUCAGGUCAUGCGCACAAAAAAGAAUGGCUGCUGGGCCCCAAUUCAUAGGGGUGUGUACCCAGCAGGCAGCCAAAUAAAAAUGAAGUUAUCCCUGUUCCCCUCUCCCUUUUAUACCCUUGGAGAAAUAAUUUACUGAAUUUUCUUAAAUAAUUUGUGUUAUUUUGUACUCUAUUUAGUUUCUGAAUGUUAACCCUUUAGACGCUGAUUGUUUUUUAAUGCAUGAUAUAUUUAUCUUAUGUUAACCCUUUAGACGCUGAUUGUUUUUUAAUACAUGAUAUAUUUAUCUUAAUGCUGAGGUUAGGCUUCAAGUGACCCCCUAGGGUUAGGGUUAGGGUCAGUAUUAGGGUCAGGGCUAGUAUCCGAGGUUAGGGUUAGAUCCUGAGGUUAGGCUUCAAGUGACCCCUAGGGUUAGGGUUAGGGUCAGUAUUAGGGUCAGGGCUAGUAUCCGAGGUUAGGGUUAGAUCCUGAGGUUAGGCUUCAAGUGACCCCUAGGGUUAGGGUUAGGGUCAGUAUUACGGUUAGGGUUAGUAUCCAAGGUAGGGUUAGGGUUAGGGUUAGGGCCACGAUUGGGGUUAUGGCAAGCGCUAAGGUUAGGGUUAGGGUUAGCGCGAUGGUUAGGGCUAGGGUUAAGUGCCAGGUUAGGGCUUACGGCAUCAGCCGCCCGGACUGCGGGUCGGCUGGAUCUCUAAUAUGUGCAGAUUUUGCAGGUUGGGGACCGAGGAAACGCACCAACGAUGGACGAGGCACUGGCGGGUAAGGUUUUUGGGUAAGUAUCCCGUCUCCCCUAAGUUGCCCUACUUGGGCGGCGGGGAGCGGGGAAUGCACGGUCCUUCGCCCACCGGACACGCUCCCCCGGUCCCACAGGAAACACGACUUGUGCUUAAUAAAUGUUGUUGUUGACUUGGUUUUAAUGUGUUGCGUUAUUGUUUUUAAAUAGUUUCCAUUUUUUUAGGAUUUUUUGUUUUUGUUUUUAAAUAAUUUCCAGUUUUUUAGGAUUUUUUUGUUUUUUAUAUACACAACACACAAACAAACAAACAAACAAACAAACAAUACAUGAUCACACAGGAACUAUGUACAUACAUUGUGCGCGUCGACGACGUUUCGACCCUACUUGGGUCUUCAUCAGGUCAUGCGCACAAAAAAGAAUGGCUGCUGGGCCCCAAUUCAUAGGGGUGUGUACCCAGCAGGCAGCCAAAUAAAAAUGAAGUUAUCCCUGUUCCCCUCUCCCUUUUAUACCCUUGGAGAAAUAAUUUACUGAAUUUUCUUAAAUAAUUUGUGUUAUUUUGUACUCUAUUUAGUUUCUGAAUGUUAACCCUUUAGACGCUGAUUGUUUUUUAAUGCAUGAUAUAUUUAUCUUAUGUUAACCCUUUAGACGCUGAUUGUUUUUUAAUACAUGAUAUAUUUAUCUUAAUGCUGAGGUUAGGCUUCAAGUGACCCCCUAGGGUUAGGGUUAGGGUCAGUAUUAGGGUCAGGGCUAGUAUCCGAGGUUAGGGUUAGAUCCUGAGGUUAGGCUUCAAGUGACCCCUAGGGUUAGGGUUAGGGUCAGUAUUAGGGUCAGGGCUAGUAUCCGAGGUUAGGGUUAGAUCCUGAGGUUAGGCUUCAAGUGACCCCUAGGGUUAGGGUUAGGGUCAGUAUUACGGUUAGGGUUAGUAUCCAAGGUAGGGUUAGGGUUAGGGUUAGGGCCACGAUUGGGGUUAUGGCAAGCGCUAAGGUUAGGGUUAGGGUUAGCGCGAUGGUUAGGGCUAGGGUUAAGUGCCAGGUUAGGGCUUACGGCAUCAGCCGCCCGGACUGCGGGUCGGCUGGAUCUCUAAUAUGUGCAGAUUUUGCAGGUUGGGGACCGAGGAAACGCACCAACGAUGGACGAGGCACUGGCGGGUAAGGUUUUUGGGUAAGUAUCCCGUCUCCCCUAAGUUGCCCUACUUGGGCGGCGGGGAGCGGGGAAUGCACGGUCCUUCGCCCACCGGACACGCUCCCCCGGUCCCACAGGAAACACGACUUGUGCUUAAUAAAUGUUGUUGUUGACUUGGUUUUAAUGUGUUGCGUUAUUGUUUUUAAAUAGUUUCCAUUUUUUUAGGAUUUUUUGUUUUUGUUUUUAAAUAAUUUCCAGUUUUUUAGGAUUUUUUUGUUUUUUAUAUACACAACACACAAACAAACAAACAAACAAACAAACAAUACAUGAUCACACAGGAACUAUGUACAUACAUUGUGCGCGUCGACGACGUUUCGACCCUACUUGGGUCUUCAUCAGGUCAUGCGCACAAAAAGAAUGGCUGCUGGGCCCCAAUUCAUAGGGGUGUGUACCCAGCAGGCAGCCAAAUAAAAAUGAAGUUAUCCCUGUUCCCCUCUCCCUUUUAUACCCUUGGAGAAAUAAUUUACUGAAUUUUCUUAAAUAAUUUGUGUUAUUUUGUACUCUAUUUAGUUUCUGAAUGUUAACCCUUUAGACGCUGAUUGUUUUUUAAUGCAUGAUAUAUUUAUCUUAUGUUAACCCUUUAGACGCUGAUUGUUUUUUAAUACAUGAUAUAUUUAUCUUAAUGCUGAGGUUAGGCUUCAAGUGACCCCCUAGGGUUAGGGUUAGGGUCAGUAUUAGGGUCAGGGCUAGUAUCCGAGGUUAGGGUUAGAUCCUGAGGUUAGGCUUCAAGUGACCCCUAGGGUUAGGGUUAGGGUCAGUAUUAGGGUCAGGGCUAGUAUCCGAGGUUAGGGUUAGAUCCUGAGGUUAGGCUUCAAGUGACCCCUAGGGUUAGGGUUAGGGUCAGUAUUACGGUUAGGGUUAGUAUCCAAGGUAGGGUUAGGGUUAGGGUUAGGGCCACGAUUGGGGUUAUGGCAAGCGCUAAGGUUAGGGUUAGGGUUAGCGCGAUGGUUAGGGCUAGGGUUAAGUGCCAGGUUAGGGCUUACGGCAUCAGCCGCCCGGACUGCGGGUCGGCUGGAUCUCUAAUAUGUGCAGAUUUUGCAGGUUGGGGACCGAGGAAACGCACCAACGAUGGACGAGGCACUGGCGGGUAAGGUUUUUGGGUAAGUAUCCCGUCUCCCCUAAGUUGCCCUACUUGGGCGGCGGGGAGCGGGGAAUGCACGGUCCUUCGCCCACCGGACACGCUCCCCCGGUCCCACAGGAAACACGACUUGUGCUUAAUAAAUGUUGUUGUUGACUUGGUUUUAAUGUGUUGCGUUAUUGUUUUUAAAUAGUUUCCAUUUUUUUAGGAUUUUUUGUUUUUGUUUUUAAAUAAUUUCCAGUUUUUUAGGAUUUUUUUGUUUUUUAUAUACACAACACACAAACAAACAAACAAACAAACAAACAAUACAUGAUCACACAGGAACUAUGUACAUACAUUGUGCGCGUCGACGACGUUUCGACCCUACUUGGGUCUUCAUCAGGUCAUGCGCACAAAAAAGAAUGGCUGCUGGGCCCCAAUUCAUAGGGGUGUGUACCCAGCAGGCAGCCAAAUAAAAAUGAAGUUAUCCCUGUUCCCCUCUCCCUUUUAUACCCUUGGAGAAAUAAUUUACUGAAUUUUCUUAAAUAAUUUGUGUUAUUUUGUACUCUAUUUAGUUUCUGAAUGUUAACCCUUUAGACGCUGAUUGUUUUUUAAUGCAUGAUAUAUUUAUCUUAUGUUAACCCUUUAGACGCUGAUUGUUUUUUAAUACAUGAUAUAUUUAUCUUAAUGCUGAGGUUAGGCUUCAAGUGACCCCCUAGGGUUAGGGUUAGGGUCAGUAUUAGGGUCAGGGCUAGUAUCCGAGGUUAGGGUUAGAUCCUGAGGUUAGGCUUCAAGUGACCCCUAGGGUUAGGGUUAGGGUCAGUAUUAGGGUCAGGGCUAGUAUCCGAGGUUAGGGUUAGAUCCUGAGGUUAGGCUUCAAGUGACCCCUAGGGUUAGGGUUAGGGUCAGUAUUACGGUUAGGGUUAGUAUCCAAGGUAGGGUUAGGGUUAGGGUUAGGGCCACGAUUGGGGUUAUGGCAAGCGCUAAGGUUAGGGUUAGGGUUAGCGCGAUGGUUAGGGCUAGGGUUAAGUGCCAGGUUAGGGCUUACGGCAUCAGCCGCCCGGACUGCGGGUCGGCUGGAUCUCUAAUAUGUGCAGAUUUUGCAGGUUGGGGACCGAGGAAACGCACCAACGAUGGACGAGGCACUGGCGGGUAAGGUUUUUGGGUAAGUAUCCCGUCUCCCCUAAGUUGCCCUACUUGGGCGGCGGGGAGCGGGGAAUGCACGGUCCUUCGCCCACCGGACACGCUCCCCCGGUCCCACAGGAAACACGACUUGUGCUUAAUAAAUGUUGUUGUUGACUUGGUUUUAAUGUGUUGCGUUAUUGUUUUUAAAUAGUUUCCAUUUUUUUAGGAUUUUUUGUUUUUGUUUUUAAAUAAUUUCCAGUUUUUUAGGAUUUUUUUGUUUUUUAUAUACACAACACACAAACAAACAAACAAACAAACAAACAAUACAUGAUCACACAGGAACUAUGUACAUACAUUGUGCGCGUCGACGACGUUUCGACCCUACUUGGGUCUUCAUCAGGUCAUGCGCACAAAAAAGAAUGGCUGCUGGGCCCCAAUUCAUAGGGGUGUGUACCCAGCAGGCAGCCAAAUAAAAAUGAAGUUAUCCCUGUUCCCCUCUCCCUUUUAUACCCUUGGAGAAAUAAUUUACUGAAUUUUCUUAAAUAAUUUGUGUUAUUUUGUACUCUAUUUAGUUUCUGAAUGUUAACCCUUUAGACGCUGAUUGUUUUUUAAUGCAUGAUAUAUUUAUCUUAUGUUAACCCUUUAGACGCUGAUUGUUUUUUAAUACAUGAUAUAUUUAUCUUAAUGCUGAGGUUAGGCUUCAAGUGACCCCCUAGGGUUAGGGUUAGGGUCAGUAUUAGGGUCAGGGCUAGUAUCCGAGGUUAGGGUUAGAUCCUGAGGUUAGGCUUCAAGUGACCCCUAGGGUUAGGGUUAGGGUCAGUAUUAGGGUCAGGGCUAGUAUCCGAGGUUAGGGUUAGAUCCUGAGGUUAGGCUUCAAGUGACCCCUAGGGUUAGGGUUAGGGUCAGUAUUACGGUUAGGGUUAGUAUCCAAGGUAGGGUUAGGGUUAGGGUUAGGGCCACGAUUGGGGUUAUGGCAAGCGCUAAGGUUAGGGUUAGGGUUAGCGCGAUGGUUAGGGCUAGGGUUAAGUGCCAGGUUAGGGCUUACGGCAUCAGCCGCCCGGACUGCGGGUCGGCUGGAUCUCUAAUAUGUGCAGAUUUUGCAGGUUGGGGACCGAGGAAACGCACCAACGAUGGACGAGGCACUGGCGGGUAAGGUUUUUGGGUAAGUAUCCCGUCUCCCCUAAGUUGCCCUACUUGGGCGGCGGGGAGCGGGGAAUGCACGGUCCUUCGCCCACCGGACACGCUCCCCCGGUCCCACAGGAAACACGACUUGUGCUUAAUAAAUGUUGUUGUUGACUUGGUUUUAAUGUGUUGCGUUAUUGUUUUUAAAUAGUUUCCAUUUUUUUAGGAUUUUUUGUUUUUGUUUUUAAAUAAUUUCCAGUUUUUUAGGAUUUUUUUGUUUUUUAUAUACACAACACACAAACAAACAAACAAACAAACAAACAAUACAUGAUCACACAGGAACUAUGUACAUACAUUGUGCGCGUCGACGACGUUUCGACCCUACUUGGGUCUUCAUCAGGUCAUGCGCACAAAAAAGAAUGGCUGCUGGGCCCCAAUUCAUAGGGGUGUGUACCCAGCAGGCAGCCAAAUAAAAAUGAAGUUAUCCCUGUUCCCCUCUCCCUUUUAUACCCUUGGAGAAAUAAUUUACUGAAUUUUCUUAAAUAAUUUGUGUUAUUUUGUACUCUAUUUAGUUUCUGAAUGUUAACCCUUUAGACGCUGAUUGUUUUUUAAUGCAUGAUAUAUUUAUCUUAUGUUAACCCUUUAGACGCUGAUUGUUUUUUAAUACAUGAUAUAUUUAUCUUAAUGCUGAGGUUAGGCUUCAAGUGACCCCCUAGGGUUAGGGUUAGGGUCAGUAUUAGGGUCAGGGCUAGUAUCCGAGGUUAGGGUUAGAUCCUGAGGUUAGGCUUCAAGUGACCCCUAGGGUUAGGGUUAGGGUCAGUAUUAGGGUCAGGGCUAGUAUCCGAGGUUAGGGUUAGAUCCUGAGGUUAGGCUUCAAGUGACCCCUAGGGUUAGGGUUAGGGUCAGUAUUACGGUUAGGGUUAGUAUCCAAGGUAGGGUUAGGGUUAGGGUUAGGGCCACGAUUGGGGUUAUGGCAAGCGCUAAGGUUAGGGUUAGGGUUAGCGCGAUGGUUAGGGCUAGGGUUAAGUGCCAGGUUAGGGCUUACGGCAUCAGCCGCCCGGACUGCGGGUCGGCUGGAUCUCUAAUAUGUGCAGAUUUUGCAGGUUGGGGACCGAGGAAACGCACCAACGAUGGACGAGGCACUGGCGGGUAAGGUUUUUGGGUAAGUAUCCCGUCUCCCCUAAGUUGCCCUACUUGGGCGGCGGGGAGCGGGGAAUGCACGGUCCUUCGCCCACCGGACACGCUCCCCCGGUCCCACAGGAAACACGACUUGUGCUUAAUAAAUGUUGUUGUUGACUUGGUUUUAAUGUGUUGCGUUAUUGUUUUUAAAUAGUUUCCAUUUUUUUAGGAUUUUUUGUUUUUGUUUUUAAAUAAUUUCCAGUUUUUUAGGAUUUUUUUGUUUUUUAUAUACACAACACACAAACAAACAAACAAACAAACAAACAAUACAUGAUCACACAGGAACUAUGUACAUACAUUGUGCGCGUCGACGACGUUUCGACCCUACUUGGGUCUUCAUCAGGUCAUGCGCACAAAAAAGAAUGGCUGCUGGGCCCCAAUUCAUAGGGGUGUGUACCCAGCAGGCAGCCAAAUAAAAAUGAAGUUAUCCCUGUUCCCCUCUCCCUUUUAUACCCUUGGAGAAAUAAUUUACUGAAUUUUCUUAAAUAAUUUGUGUUAUUUUGUACUCUAUUUAGUUUCUGAAUGUUAACCCUUUAGACGCUGAUUGUUUUUUAAUGCAUGAUAUAUUUAUCUUAUGUUAACCCUUUAGACGCUGAUUGUUUUUUAAUACAUGAUAUAUUUAUCUUAAUGCUGAGGUUAGGCUUCAAGUGACCCCCUAGGGUUAGGGUUAGGGUCAGUAUUAGGGUCAGGGCUAGUAUCCGAGGUUAGGGUUAGAUCCUGAGGUUAGGCUUCAAGUGACCCCUAGGGUUAGGGUUAGGGUCAGUAUUAGGGUCAGGGCUAGUAUCCGAGGUUAGGGUUAGAUCCUGAGGUUAGGCUUCAAGUGACCCCUAGGGUUAGGGUUAGGGUCAGUAUUACGGUUAGGGUUAGUAUCCAAGGUAGGGUUAGGGUUAGGGUUAGGGCCACGAUUGGGGUUAUGGCAAGCGCUAAGGUUAGGGUUAGGGUUAGCGCGAUGGUUAGGGCUAGGGUUAAGUGCCAGGUUAGGGCUUACGGCAUCAGCCGCCCGGACUGCGGGUCGGCUGGAUCUCUAAUAUGUGCAGAUUUUGCAGGUUGGGGACCGAGGAAACGCACCAACGAUGGACGAGGCACUGGCGGGUAAGGUUUUUGGGUAAGUAUCCCGUCUCCCCUAAGUUGCCCUACUUGGGCGGCGGGGAGCGGGGAAUGCACGGUCCUUCGCCCACCGGACACGCUCCCCCGGUCCCACAGGAAACACGACUUGUGCUUAAUAAAUGUUGUUGUUGACUUGGUUUUAAUGUGUUGCGUUAUUGUUUUUAAAUAGUUUCCAUUUUUUUAGGAUUUUUUGUUUUUGUUUUUAAAUAAUUUCCAGUUUUUUAGGAUUUUUUUGUUUUUUAUAUACACAACACACAAACAAACAAACAAACAAACAAACAAUACAUGAUCACACAGGAACUAUGUACAUACAUUGUGCGCGUCGACGACGUUUCGACCCUACUUGGGUCUUCAUCAGGUCAUGCGCACAAAAGAAUGGCUGCUGGGCCCCAAUUCAUAGGGGUGUGUACCCAGCAGGCAGCCAAAUAAAAAUGAAGUUAUCCCUGUUCCCCUCUCCCUUUUAUACCCUUGGAGAAAUAAUUUACUGAAUUUUCUUAAAUAAUUUGUGUUAUUUUGUACUCUAUUUAGUUUCUGAAUGUUAACCCUUUAGACGCUGAUUGUUUUUUAAUGCAUGAUAUAUUUAUCUUAUGUUAACCCUUUAGACGCUGAUUGUUUUUUAAUACAUGAUAUAUUUAUCUUAAUGCUGAGGUUAGGCUUCAAGUGACCCCCUAGGGUUAGGGUUAGGGUCAGUAUUAGGGUCAGGGCUAGUAUCCGAGGUUAGGGUUAGAUCCUGAGGUUAGGCUUCAAGUGACCCCUAGGGUUAGGGUUAGGGUCAGUAUUAGGGUCAGGGCUAGUAUCCGAGGUUAGGGUUAGAUCCUGAGGUUAGGCUUCAAGUGACCCCUAGGGUUAGGGUUAGGGUCAGUAUUACGGUUAGGGUUAGUAUCCAAGGUAGGGUUAGGGUUAGGGUUAGGGCCACGAUUGGGGUUAUGGCAAGCGCUAAGGUUAGGGUUAGGGUUAGCGCGAUGGUUAGGGCUAGGGUUAAGUGCCAGGUUAGGGCUUACGGCAUCAGCCGCCCGGACUGCGGGUCGGCUGGAUCUCUAAUAUGUGCAGAUUUUGCAGGUUGGGGACCGAGGAAACGCACCAACGAUGGACGAGGCACUGGCGGGUAAGGUUUUUGGGUUAGGGUUAGGGUUAGGGUUAGGGUUAGGGUUAGGGUUAGGGGUUAGGGGUUAGGGUUAGGGUUAGGGUUAGGGUUAGGGUUAGGGGUUAGGGUUAGGGUUAGGGUUAGGGUUAGGGUUAGGAUAUAGGGAUAUGUGCCACUUUUGACAUGCCGGUUCAUUGCCUUUCCCAAUGAUGAACCGGGCUGAGAUUUGGUCUACCCCCCCAUUUUCGGGUAUGCUGAAUCUAGAAAUAGUAAUGAACCAGCGAUCGGACAUUCCUAUCAAAAGUUAUGGCGAAGUGAAAAUUUCCCAUUGAAAAUGAAUGGGAGCGGAAAAAUGGCCAAAGUCAGUGUUUGCAAGUGUUGUACUUGUCUGGAAAUGUUGAAAAUGCAUUGUGAGCACGUUUCAGGCCAUUUCCUGUCAUUUGAGGGCGACUUUGCAAAAAGGGGUGUCAUACCGCUUUUGACCAGAGGUGGCGCUGCACAUGUCCGACGGUUAGGGUUAGGGUGAGACUUUGGGCAAGGGGUUAGGGUUAGGGUUGGAGCUAGGGUUAGGGUUAGGGUUGGAGCUAGGGUUAGGGUUAGGGUUGGAGCUAGGGUUAGGGUUAGGGUUAGGAAAAUGUGAAGAUUUUCCCAAAAUCUGAAGAUUUUCCUAAGUGCGGACCCAAUUUUUCACCUUCCAGAAUUGUGUUAGGAGCACGUUUCAGGCCACGGGGAGUCCAUAGAACCUGAUUCUGGGUGAAGUUUUCGGGGGUUGGAGCUUUGGGGCAGGAUAUAGGGAUAUGUGCCACUUUUGACAUGCCGGUUCAUUGCCUUUCCCAUCGAUGAACCGGGCUGAGAUUUGGUCUACCCCCCCAUUUUCGGGUAUGCUGAAUCUAGAAAUAGUAAUGAACCAGCGAUCGGACAUUCCUAUCAAAAGUUAUGGCGAAGUGAAAAUUUCCCAUUGAAAAUGAAUGGGAGCGGAAAAUGGCCAAAGUCAGUGUUUGCAAGUGUUGUACUUGUCUGGAAGUGUUGAAAAUGCAUUGUGAGCACGUUUCAGGCCAUUUCCUGUCAUUUGAGGGCGACUUUGCAAAAAGGGGUGUCAUACCGCUUUUGACCAGAGGUGGUGCUGCACAUGUCCGACGGUUAGGGUUAGGGUGAGACUUUGGGCAAGGGGUUAGGGUUAGGGCUGGAGCUAUGGUUAGGGUUAGUUGUGGAGCUAGGGUUAGGGUUAGGGUUGGAGCUAGGGUUAGGGUUAGGGUUGGAGCUAGGGUUAGGGUUAGGGUUAGGAAAAUGUGAAGAUUUUCCCAAAAUCUGAAGAUUUUCCUAAGUGCGGACCCAAUUUUUCACCUUCCAGAAUUGUGUUAGGAGCACGUUUCAGGCCACGGGGAGUCCAUAGAACCUGAUUGUGGGUGAAGUUUUCGGGGGUUGGAGCUUUGGGGCAGGAUAUAGGGAUAUGUGCCACUUUUGACAUGCCGGUUCAUUGCCUUUCCCAUCGAUGAACCGGGCUGAGAUUUGGUCUACCCCCCCAUUUUCGGGUAUGCUGAAUCUAGAAAUAGUAAUGAACCAGCGAUCGGACGUUCCUAUCAAAAGUUAUGGCGAAGUGAAAAUUUCCCAUUGAAAAUGAAUGGGAGCGGAAAAUGGCCAAAGUCAGUGUUUGCAAGUGUUGUACUUGUCUGGAAGUGUUGAAAAUGCAUUGUGAGCACGUUUCAGGCCAUUUCCUGUCAUUUGAGGGCGACUUUGCAAAAAGGGGUGUCAUACCGCUUUUGACCAGAGGUGGUGCUGCACAUGUCCGACGGUUAGGGUUAGGGUGAGACUUUGGGCAAGGGGUUAGGGUUAGGGCUGGAGCUAUGGUUAGGGUUAGUUGUGGAGCUAGGGUUAGGGUUAGGGUUGGAGCUAGGGUUAGGGUUAGGGUUGGAGCUAGGGUUAGGGUUAGGGUUAGGAAAAUGUGAAGAUUUUCCCAAAAUCUGAAGAUUUUCCUAAGUGCGGACCCAAUUUUUCACCUUCCAGAAUUGUGUUAGGAGCACGUUUCAGGCCACGGGGAGUCCAUAGAACCUGAUUGUGGGUGAAGUUUUCGGGGGUUGGAGCUUUGGGGCAGGAUAUAGGGAUAUGUGCCACUUUUGACAUGCCGGUUCAUUGCCUUUCCCAUCGAUGAACCGGGCUGAGAUUUGGUCUACCCCCCAUUUUCGGGUAUGCUGAAUCUAGAAAUAGUAAUGAACCAGCGAUCGGACGUUCCUAUCAAAAGUUAUGGCGAAGUGAAAAUUUCCCAUUGAAAAUGAAUGGGAGCGGAAAAUGGCCAAAGUCAGUGUUUGCAAGUGUUGUACUUGUCUGGAAGUGUUGAAAAUGCA